GAUGAACGCUGGCGGCGUGCCUAAUACAUGCAAGUCGAGCGAACAGACGAGGAGCUUGCUCCUCUGACGUUAGCGGCGGACGGGUGAGUAACACGUGGAUAACCUACCUAUAAGACUGGGAUAACUUCGGGAAACCGGAGCUAAUACCGGAUAAUAUAUUGAACCGCAUGGUUCAAUAGUGAAAGACGGUUUUGCUGUCACUUAUAGAUGGAUCGGCGCCGCAUUAGCUAGUUGGUAAGGUAACGGCUUACCAAGGCAACGAUGCGUAGCCGACCUGAGAGGGUGAUCGGCCACACUGGAGCUGAGACACGGUCCAGACUCCUACGGGAGGCAGCAGUAGGGAAUCUUCCGCAAUGGGCGAAAGCCUGACGGAGCAACGCCGCGUGAGUGAUGAAGGUCUUCGGAUCGUAAAACUCUGUUAUUAGGGAAGAACAAAUGUGUAAGUAACUAUGCACGUCUUGACGGUACCUAAUCAGAAAGCCACGGCUAACUACGUG
rnacentral:rRNA from 1 species